rnacentral:rRNA from 1 species
CACGUAGGAGGCGAGCGUUGUCCGGAAUCAUUGGGCGUAAAGAGCGCGCAGGCGGCUUGGCAAGUCGGGUGUGAAAUCCCGGGGCUCAACCCCGGGACUGCAUUCGAUACUGUCAGGCUAGAGGUAGGUAGGGGAGAUCGGAAUUCCUGGUGUAGCGGUGAAAUGCGCAGAUAUCAGGAGGAACACCAAUAGCGAAGGCAGCUCGCUGGGACGGUAUUGACGCUGAGGCGCGAAAGCGUGGGGAGCAAACAGG